rnacentral:rRNA from 1 species
UACGGAGGGAGCUAGCGUUGUUCGGAAUUACUGGGCGUAAAGCGCACGUAGGCGGCUACUCAAGUCAGAGGUGAAAGCCCGGGGCUCAACCCCCGGAACUGCCUUUGAAACUAGGUAGCUAGAAUCUUGGAGAGGUCAGUGGAAUUCCGAGUGUAGAGGUGAAAUUCGUAGAUAUUCGGAAGAACACCAGUGGCGAAGGCGACUGACUGGACAAGUAUUGACGCUGAGGUGCGAAAGCGUGGGGAGCAAACAGG